GCGGUUCUUUCGCUUUUUCGUGCUACCCCUGUAGCGGGCCGGCCCAGUUGCAUCGCUUUUCGGGCGCCAGUAGAAGGAACCGGCGCUGAGAGCGCCAGUUAGGAGCUCCCCCGAACAGGAGCUCCCGCCGCCUCUUCGUCUUCGAUUCCCCAAUCCCACUUCCCCGUCUCCGUUUCCUCCACCCCUCCCCCUAAAAAUCCUCCUAAAUUGCCAGUCUGCGCACCUGCCGGCGGAACCCUAGCUCCGGAGCUACUUGCCAGAUCAGGGCGGCUGAAUCGGCGGCUCCUUCCCUAGCGCCGCACUUUCGGAGGCUUGCGCCGCUCGGCGCGUCCCCAGCCCGCAUCUUUCCUCCGUCUGCACCUUCAGGAUUCGCGCCGCUCCGGCCUGAGGGCUUUGGAGGCUUGCUGUUGCUGCCCUCCUCUUCACCGCCGUGCGUGCAGAUCUUCACACUUUUCAGGAGUCCGAUAUGCUUGGUCAAGUUUAGUGCAGCUGCCCCCUAUUAAUUCCAUUUUCAGGAGUCCGAUAUCCAGGCAUCAAGCACUCUAUGCACCAUCCAAUCUCGCCGCUCUACCAACUUUGCCUGAACACCGACUGCCAAUGCUCCAUAUACCAUCAUACAAUCUUGCCAUUCUACCUCCUUCGCCGGAACACCGACCGCCGCUCCAUCUGAGUUACAAAUUGAAUUCAACAUGUCAGUUGAGGAAGCUGCUGACCUAGCAUGGCAGGCUAUUUAUCAUGCAACAUUCCUUAACGGAGCUAGUGAUGGUGUUGUUAACCACUCAUUUUCUUCAGCAUGAACAUCUUGGCCGGCCUAUUUACCAAAAUCUAGGGGGCCUUUUGAUGGAUUUCCUGUAAUUUUUUUGGGAAUGUGUUUGAUCCACGUCAUAAGCGUAUUUCCAUCCAAGGAAGUGGAAUUUGUUUGAACCGAGAAAGAGGGCACAGCAUUGAUCCAAUUCAUAUCAAUGAUCCUCUUUGCCCUGCUAACAAUGUGGGACGGAAUUGUUUCCGGGUCCACCAAUGCAUCAGGGUUGGCUCAAAUUAUCUUUUCUGGACUGGUUGAAUCCUUCUGUUGUUGUCUAGAGCUUUUGGAGUUGUGGCAAUGCUGUGAUUAUGCUCUUUUAUAUGGCUUUCGUUGUUCUAGAGAACGAGCUACUGCAGUUCACUGCAGAAUAUAACAUGCCCGCAUCAUCAUUCAGCCUGCUGAAGAAAAUAAUUCCAAGCAUUGAUUCCAAUGAGUUGUACCAGUAAAAAGAACCUAUGAUUCCAUGAGCUGCAGGAACUGUUGGGUUGGAAUGGCCUCCUCUGUGUUCUAGACACAGAGUUACUACUGCAGCUGGUGGAAAAGGUUUACAGAGGGAGUACAUGUUAGUAGUACUACGUUAUCUAUAUGAUGGAUGCCAUGGAUUCUUAGUAAUGCCCAUGAACAUGAUGGUUGCAUGUUCGUGUGGGACCGCAAGUACCCCAUGAACGCGCCGCUGAAAGAGAUGGUCACCAACAUCUAGCCGUAGGUAGCCAAGAUCAAGGAUGGCAUGAAAGUCAUGGUUGCUGUGGCCCAAGUCAAGCUGAAGAGAGUAGAAACACGUACAGUUCUGUUGGUAGUUGUGUCCCAAGAAGCCAUGGAGUGGAUUCUGUACUUCAGGUUCGCUGGCUCAGAACUUGGAAGCGAACAAGUGCCAUGGCGAACUGCUUUGAGCUUGAUGAAGUGCAUAUGAAGGCAAAGGUUGCUGGAUGUUACAUACUCCCUCCGUUCCAAAAUAGAUGACCCAAUUUUGUACUAAUGCUUUACUUUCAAAUUCUCUGAAUUCUUUCACGUAACAUUUCUUGCUUAUAGGUUCUAUCUUGUUUUAAGUUGCCUGGUGGUGUAUGAGCAAGGCUGGAGAUAUAUAGGCUUAUAGUCCAACAGUCAGAGGUUGAUUUGCUAUUCCUCGGUCUAUGUAAAUGUAUAAAUCGAUGAUGAUGUACAAACAAAUGAUAUUUUGUUUUUUA